AGGGAUUGGAUAUGAUGACACUUUUGAUAAGUAAAUGCAUUUGGUAGACUAUUUGUAAUGUUUUACAAAUAUAAGAUGUUCUGAACUGUUGAUUCAGACAUUCGUUGGUAUGUACGUGGAUGUGAGGAUUGAAUAUGUAUAAUAUUCAUUUUGGAUUCCUGGCAUUCUAUGUGUGGUAUUAAUCUCCCCCUAAUGCCUGGAAUUAUCCUCAAAGUGUUAUCAACAUACGAGCUUGUGUGUAAAUCCCCAUAUGAGACCUAAGGUAUUAUAUGAAUGACGGAUAAGAAUACAUUUUGUGGUCCAUAAUGCCUAUGAUGUAUGUUGCGGUGGUGAUAUUGGUAUGUGU
rnacentral:lncRNA from 1 species